rnacentral:rRNA from 1 species
UACGUAGGGGGCUAGCGUUGUCCGGAAUCAUUGGGCGUAAAGCGCGUGUAGGCGGUUCGGUAAGUCCGCUGUGAAAGUCGGGGGCUCAACCCUCGGAUGCCGGUGGAUACUGUCGGACUAGAGUACGGAAGAGGCGAGUGGAAUUCCUGGUGUAGCGGUGAAAUGCGCAGAUAUCAGGAGGAACACCAGUGGCGAAGGCGGUCUCCUGGGGCAUUCUUGACGCUGAGGCGCGAAAGCUGGGGGAGCAAACGGG